rnacentral:rRNA from 1 species
ACGCGUGGGAAUCUGCCCUUGGGUUCGGAAUAACAGUUAGAAAUGACUGCUAAUACCGGAUAAUGUCUUCGGACCAAAGAUUUAUCGCCCAGGGAUGAGCCCGCGUAGGAUUAGCUAGUUGGUGAGGUAAAGGCUCACCAAGGCGACGAUCCUUAGCUGGUCUGAGAGGAUGAUCAGCCACACUGGGCACUGAGACACGGGCCCGACUCCUACGGGAGGCAGCAGUAAGGAAUAUUGGUCAAUGGACGCAAGUCUGAACCAGCCAUGCCGCGUGAAGGAUUAAGGUCCUCUGGAUUGUAAACUUCUUUUAUCUGGGACGAAAAAGGCGAUUCUUCGUCACUUGACGGUACCAGAUGAAUAAGCACCGGCUAACUCCGUG